UAGUAUUUGAUGGCAACUUCAGUAUCCAGAUAACAUACCACAGGAGAAAGCAGCUAUGACUGUGGUGUAUUUGUCUGCGAGUAUGUCUGCUGUUUGAUUCUGCACAAACCAAUGGAAUUUUCACAGGAUUAUAUGCCAAAUAUAAGAGAAAGGAUAGCAACUGAUUUGCAGUCUGGGGUCCUGCUACCCGAUGAAGCAGCAACAGGCAGCAGUGCCACUGAUGCACAAGUACA